GACGAACGCUGGCGGCGUGCUUAACACAUGCAAGUCGAACGGAAAGGCCCUGCUUUUGUGGGGUGCUCGAGUGGCGAACGGGUGAGUAACACGUGAGUAACCUGCCCUUGACUUUGGGAUAACUUCAGGAAACUGGGGCUAAUACCGGAUAGGAGCUCCUGCUGCAUGGUGGGGGUUGGAAAGUUUCGGCGGUUGGGGAUGGACUCGCGGCUUAUCAGCUUGUUGGUGGGGUAGUGGCUUACCAAGGCUUUGACGGGUAGCCGGCCUGAGAGGGUGACCGGCCACAUUGGGACUGAGAUACGGCCCAGACUCCUACGGGAGGCAGCAGUGGGGAAUAUUGCACAAUGGGCGGACGCCUGAUGCAGCAACGCCGCGUGCGGGAUGACGGCCUUCGGGUUGUAAACCGCUUUCGCCUGUGACGAAGCGUGAGUGACGGUAAUGGGUAAAGAAGCACCGGCUAACUACGU
rnacentral:rRNA from 1 species